rnacentral:rRNA from 1 species
UACGUAGGGGGCGAGCGUUGUCCGGAAUUAUUGGGCGUAAAGAGCUCGUAGGCGGCUUGGCAAGUCGGAUGUGAAAACUCCAGGCUCAACCUGGAGCCGCCAUUCGAUACUGCUAUGGCUAGAGUCCGGUAGGGGAGUGUGGAAUUCCCGGUGUAGCGGUGAAAUGCGCAGAUAUCGGGAGGAACACCGAUGGCGAAGGCAGCACUCUGGGCCGGCACUGACGC